CUCAGGGACAAGCCUGUGAGCUACAUACCUGGAAAUAAAAUUGAAGAAAGUCUUUCCGUGUGAGUCACUCACUUGAUAUUUAGCUCUGCAAUCUCAUUUGCCCUCUUGGUGUCUCAUCCUGAGCGCUUUGUCCAUUUUCUUUGAAUGUUAGGAAUUUAUAUUUAUUGCCAAACAAAUGUUUAAGGCAGAUAAACAAACUGAGUGUUGAGUUGAUAAGAAUCAUUUUGUAAAGGGCUGGGAUUGUGGCCCAGCAGUAGAGCACUCUACUAGCACGAGCGGGACCCAGGUUUGAUCCUCAGCACCACAUAAAAAUAAAAGGCAUUGUGCUGUGUCCAUCUACACCUAAAAAAUAAAUGUUAAAAAGAGAAUCAUUUUGUUAAAUAUUCUAAAAAGGUUUUAGAGGCCUUUUAAAAAGACAAAUAUUUCUCUGGCUUUUAGUUUGUGGUGAACUCUUUAUUAAGCCUUAUUUGCCAUUGUUAACUUCUUUAUUCUUUGGAGAAGGGAGUCUUCCCUUAAUUCUAAUCAUAAAGUAAUUUUCGCACAUACUCUGAACAAUUUUGUUAUGCCUUAUCUUUGGAGAAGAAAGAUCCCCAUUUGAUCUCAUCUUCCAAGUGAUAAUUAUACAAAAAUAUAAUUAUACAAAAUAUAAUUCUCUCUCUGUUGAACACCUGGCUAAGGAGAGAAGGACCUGGUCUUCUGAGCUGAUGAAAUAAUUAGAGCGUGCACACAUGCACACUCAGGCACACACAUGCACAGACACACACACAUGCACAUGCAUGCACACAUACAUAAGGCCUUUGACUGCAGAGUCAGAGGACAGCAUACAACCCAUUUCUCAACUUGUUGAAGAAAGAUAUUCUUAUCAAUCUCCAGGAUAGGAGUGAGAAGGCUUUUGGUCACCUCCACCCACCGUCUCCUUUCUAUGUCUAUCCAUAACAUAAGUAACCAAACCAGUUCAAAAUUGAUCAUAAGUAACCAGUACAAAAUUGACUCAUAUCAUUUAAGUCCCACAGAAUUGGCUUAAUUGUUCAUUCAGUUGAUCAAAUAAUCUUGCCAAGAUUCUGUCUGUUUCUAUCUGCCUGCCUCUAUCUAUCUAUCAUCCAUCUGUCUACCCAUCCUUCUACCCAUUCUUCAUCUAUCUAUCCUUCCAUCUGCCCUUCCCUCUACCCACCAUCUGUCCUGUCUAUCUAAUCCAUCCAUCCAUCUGUCCUUCCCUCCACCCACCAUCUGUCCUGUCUGUGUCUGUCUGUCUAUCUAUCUAUCCAUCCAUCCAUCGGCCCUUCCCUCCACCCACCACAUAUCCUGUCUAUCUAUGUCUAUCUAUCCAUCCAUCCAUCUGUCCUUCCCUCCACCCACCAUCUGUCCUGACUGUGUCUAUCUAUCCAUCCAUCAGCCCUUCCCUCCUCCCACCAUCUGUCCUGUCUAUCCAUGUCUAUCCAUCCAUCCAUCUUCCCUUCCCUCCUCCCACCAUCUGUCCUGUCUGUCUGUGUCUAUCUAUUCAUCCAUCCAUCUUCCCUUCCCUCCUCCCACCAUCUGUCCUGUCUCUCUGUGUCUAUCUAUCCAUCCACCCAUCAGCCCUUCCCUCCUCCCACCAUCUGUCCUGUCUAUCUAUGUCUAUCUAUCCAUCCAUCCAUCAGCCCUUCCCUCCCACCAUCUGUCCUGUCUAUAUGUCUAUCCAUCCAUCCAUCAGCCCUUCCCUCCUCCCACCAUCUGUCCUGUCUGUGUCUAUCCAUCCAUCCAUCCAUCUGUCCUUCCCUCCUCCCACCAUCUGUCCUGUCUAUCCAUGUCUAUCCAUCCAUCCAUCAGCCUUUCCCUCCUCCCACCAUCUGUCCUAUCUGUGUCUAUCUAUCCGUCCAUCCACCAUCUGUCCUGACUGUCAACGUCUAUCUAUCCAUCCAUUCAUCUUCCCUUCCCUCCACCCACCAUCUGUCCUGACUGUCGAUGUCUAUCUAUCCAUCCACCCAUCAUCUGCUCUUUCCUCCACCCACCAUCUGUCCUGUCUAUCUAUCCAUCCAUCCAUCAUCUGUUCUUCCCUACACCCACCAUCUGUCCUGUCUGUCUGUCUGUCUAUCCAUCCAUCCGUCUUCCCUUCCCUCCACCCACCAUCUGUCCUGCCUGUCUAUCCAUCCUGCUCUUUCCUCCACCCAUCAUCUGUCCUGUCUGUCUAUCUAUCCAUCCAUCUGCCCUUCCCUAACCCACAAUCUGUCCUGUCUGUGUUGCUCUCUUCAUCCAUCUGCCUUUCCCUCCACCCACCCUCUAUCCUAUCUAUGUCUCUGUUCAUCCAUCUGUCUGCCCUUCCUUCCACCCAUCCCCUGUCUGUCUGUCUGUCUGUCUGUGUUUGUGCUCUUAUCUCUCCAUGUGCUGUCUGCCCUCUCUAUUCUUGGUCCAUCCCUCUGUGGCCUGCACUGUGUUGGCCUGUUCUGUUGAUUUGUGCAGGUGCCGGGAAGGUUUCUUCCUGGUAGCUUAGGUGAGCAUUGAGCCUCUGGUAUUGGAGAUAUAUUUUUAUUCAUAUCAAUACUCCCCAAAUUACCCUGGCCUUGCUUGGGUCAUCUGCUCACUCUGGGCCAGGCAGGUCGCCUGUAGUGUGGUCUGUCCAUCAGGGGUGGGGUCAGAAUUCUCAGAAGAAAGUGAUGUGGGAAGGCCCACAAGUUCUAGAUGUCUUCCAUAUCUAGGGCUUACUUCCUUUUAUUUUACUGUGAGUUGCAUGUGAAAUUCCUAGAAUAAAUAAAAGUAGGCAUGAUUUAGUCAUAGUUAUAGAAUUUGUGCAACUGUAAUACCAAAAUAAAUUUUAGUUUAAUCUUGAACAAAAUAAUAAAACCACAGCUGAUGCAGACGCAUCACUUCCCUUGCAGGGUUAGUGUGGCCCAGCCCAGGGCCGGGCCUUUGCUGCAGUGGCCCUGAGAUGACUUGGCUCUCUCGUUGGGUCUAUGGACAGAUUGGGACUUUUCCUCCUGCAGCAUAGCAGACCAGCUCUUGGGUUUUACUUGGUGGGAAACAUUUGCACAACAAGCUCACCUGCUUUGCUUUUUUAUGAACACAAAUGUCAAUCUGUGUGCCAAGAUUGCAGGGCCAUUUUAUUUGUGGUCACUCUAAUAAUUUAAGGCAUGCUCU
rnacentral:lncRNA from 1 species